UGGGAUUACAAGCCUGUGUCAGUAUGCCCU
rnacentral:piRNA from 1 species